CCUCCUGUCUCUAAUAUGUGCCUUUGUUGUGGUUUUGCUGCUGAUUUUACUCGUGUUACAUCAUAUAAAGAGAAAAUAUAAAGGUAAUCAGGGAAACAGCGAGGAAAGUGUCACUUACAGUGAUGUUAAAAUAUCAGAGGAUAGACGUCGGAAAAACACACCAAACACAGAAUAUCCACCAGAACCAGAAGUCAUCUACUCUUCACUGAGUUAGUCCUCCAGUUCCAGCAGAAACCUCCAGCUGUCGGCUCAUUUACAGCCUGCUUCUAAAGAUCGAUUUCUGGUGAAAAUGUGUUUAUUUCUCUAUAAAUGAGCUCAGCUAGAUGAAAACCAAGGCGUCCUGAAUGUAUUUCAUUGUUUCACUUUAGUGUGCUGAGUAAUAUUCUCAGUAACUUCACUGUUUUACUACUAUAACCUCUGCAGCAUGAUGGUUCCUCUGCAGCUUCAUCAUGUUCUCACCUGCGGUUCUUUAGCUUGUUUCUAACAAACAGACACAUUGUUCCUGUUUGUUUGUGGCUGUCUGAUGGAAACUAUUCUUCACAGCAGCUUGCAAUGCAAAUAAAACCAAAACCGCAGAAUCAAACCUGUUAAAAGCUGCACAAAAACCUGUCAGAGUGUUAAACCAAACCGUAGCUUGUUUUUAAGGUUUUGAUCUAGACAUGCUUUGAAAUAAACAAACUUUAGGUAAUGUUGAAUGAACCUUAAUUUAGGUUUUCUACAUUCACAAGACACAAGUGCAUAUCUGCCAGUGCUUAUAGCUUCAACUUUUCUGUGGAAUUUUUGUCAGUGGACUCCAAUGAAGUCCAACUGGACCCACUGGUUCCUUGAUUCCUUCCCACUCAGAGCUUCCUGAUGGGUCACAGGUCUGUCCUCAGUGGGUUUUACCCCCUGAUGAAAUCUGCAGUUUGUCUCCAUAUUUACCUCCCUAGUGGUUUAAGUGUUGGAUUUAUUUGGUUUUGUUUUAUUGACCAGAUUCUUUGAUUUUAGAACAAAGUUAAAUCCUUUAAUUUUUAAUCUGGUAACGUUUAUUUUUCUAUAAAAUAAUUUCCUACACAAUACAUAAUCUCAAUGGACAAUGCAUUUUCCAUUGAGAUUAAUUGAACUGAAAAAUGUAUUAAAUGUCUUUUUUUAAAGAGGUAAUUAUAAUUUGACUUUAAAAUGAAUGCAGCUCCCCGAAAAAUGAUCUUUCUUCAUUUUAAUGUUUUGUUGUGUUUCAGAAUAGCACACAGUGGUUAAGCAAAAAUAUGGAAUAAAAUGGCUUUAAAAUGGUUUUGCAAAUGAAAUUUGAAAAGUGUGGCAUGCAUUUGUCUUCAGUCCCUUUACUCUGAUACCACUCAAUAAAACCCAGUCCCAAAAAUUGACAUUUUAUUGUUUAUUGUGACAUUUUAUUGUGUAAUUUAUUCUGAGUAGAACUGCAGCUAUUUCUUUUCUAGCUUCACAGGUUUGUUAGAGAGCAAACAGGACUAUGAAG